rnacentral:rRNA from 1 species
CCUACGGGCGGCUGCAGUGGGGAAUAUUGGACAAUGGGGGGAACCCUGAUCCAGCCAUGCCGCGUGUGUGAAGAAGGCCCUCGGGUUGUAAAGCACUUUCAGUGAGGAAGAACGCCUGGUGGUUUAUACCCAUCAGGAAAGACAUCACUCACAGAAGAAGCACCGGCUAACUCCGUGCCAGCAGCCGCGGUAAUACGGAGGGUGCGAGCGUUAAUCGGAAUUACUGGGCGUAAAGCGCGCGUAGGUGGCUUGAUAAGCCGGUUGUGAAAGCCCCGGGCUCAACCUGGGAACGGCAUCCGGAACUGUCAAGCUAGAGUGCAGGAGAGGAAGGUAGAAUUCCCGGUGUAGCGGUGAAAUGCGUAGAGAUCGGGAGGAAUACCAGUGGCGAAGGCGGCCUUCUGGACUGACACUGACACUGAGGUGCGAAAGCGUGGGUAGCAAACAGGAUUAGAUACCCCAGUAGUC